rnacentral:rRNA from 1 species
GAUGAACGCUGGCGGCGUGCCUAACACAUGCAAGUCGAACGGAGACGAGCCUUUAAGACGUUCGGGUCAAAGAGGGGAAGAGUGAGUGGCGGACGGGUGAGUAACACGUGGGCAACCUGGCUCAUAGAGGGGGAGAACAGAGAGAAAUAUCUGCUAAUACCGCAUAAGCACAGACUGCCGCAUGGCAGAGGGGGAAAAGAGAAUCGCUAUGAGAUGGACCCGCGUCUGUUUAGCCAGUUGGCAGGGUAAGAGCCUACCAAAGCGACGGUCAGUGGCCGAUCUGAGAGGGUGAACGUCCACAUUGGGACUGAGACACGGCCCAAACGCCUACGGGAGGCAGCAGUGUGGGAUAUUGCGCAAUGGGCGAACCCUGAUGCAGCGACGCCGCGUGAGUGAACAAGUAUUUCGGUAUGUAAAGCUCUAUCAGCAGAGAAGAUAGUGACGGUACCUGAAUAAGAAGCCCCGGCUAACUACGUG